rnacentral:rRNA from 1 species
ACACUAGACUGAUGAGUUGCGAACGGAUGAGUAACGCGUAGGUAACCUGCCUCAUAGCGGGGGAUAACUAUUGGAAACGAUAGCUAAUACCGCAUAAGAGUAAUUAACACAUGUUGGUUAUUUAAAAGGAGCAAUUGCUUCACUGUGAGAUGGACCUGCGUUGUAUUAGCUAGUUGGUGAGGUAAAGGCUCACCAAGGCGACGAUACAUAGCCGACCUGAGAGGGUGAUCGGCCACACUGGGACUGAGACACGGCCCAGACUCCUACGGGAGGCAGCAGUAGGGAAUCUUCGGCAAUGGACGGAAGUCUGACCGAGCAACGCCGCGUGAGUGAAGAAGGUUUUCGGAUCGUAAAGCUCUGUUGUUAGAGAAGAACGUUGGUAGGAGUGGAAAUCUACCA